GAUGAACGCUAGCGGCAGGCUUAACACAUGCAAGUCGAGGGGCAGCGGGAGUAGCAAUACUUGCCGGCGACCGGCGCAAGGGUGCGUAACGCGUGAGCAACAUGCCCGUAUCAGGGGGAUAAUCCAGGGAAACUUGGUCUAAUACCCCAUAGUAAUCUUAGGAGGCAUCUUUUAAGAUUUAAAGCUUUGGUGGAUACGGAUUGGCUCGCGUGACAUUAGCUAGAUGGUAGGGUAACGGCCUACCAUGGCUACGAUGUCUAGGGGUUCUGAGAGGAAGAUCCCCCACACUGGAACUGAGACACGGUCCAGACUCCUACGGGAGGCAGCAGUGAGGAAUAUUGGACAAUGGAUGGAAAUCUGAUCCAGCCAUGCCGCGUGCAGGAAGACUGCCCUAUGGGUUGUAAACUGCUUUUGUAUGGGAGCAAUAAGCCCUUCGUGAAGGGUGAUGAGAGUACCAUACGAAUAAGCAUCGGCUAACUCCGUG
rnacentral:rRNA from 1 species